rnacentral:lncRNA from 1 species
UUUCAAGAGCUGACUGAAACCUCAGCAAAGCAGUAGCAAAGGAUUACAACAUCUUACAGUUAAGUCCUAGCUUACGUUUUCUGCAUGGAUGCUGAUCUUUGUAUUCUGAGCAAUAACCAUUUUACAGAGGAGAAGGGAGGUCAGCAGCCGCUGUUGCAUCUUGAACCGUGGGUUGUUUUCUCUUUGAGUGCAGGUGAGUGCUUACUGAUUUAUACUGUAUUUGACUUUCUGUCCUUCCCUUUUCUCCUUUUUUAUUAUU